UGCAUCGGCCGGGAAUCGAACCCUGGCAGGCGAGCAUUCUACCACUGAACCACCGAUGC
rnacentral:tRNA from 1 species